GGUAAUGUGGCUUAGUGGUAGAGUGCUUGCCUAGCAUACAUGAAGCCCUGGGUUUGAGUCCUCAGUACCA
rfam:Dipodomys ordii contig_26005, whole genome shotgun sequence.